CGGAAUCGAACCUGGGACCCUUCAGUCCACAGACCUAUGCUCUACCACUGAGCCAAACCAGUUUUGGCCCCUUUAAAUUCUUGGUUGACUCACCUCUUUGUACUUCUUUAAACUUCUCAAUAAUUUGUUCUCCAAUCAAACUCUGCCUAUUUCAUUUCCCUUUUUUGCAUGGCAUAUGGCCCACUCUGAGACAUUUAAGAUCCGGGCCUAGAGGAAUAUGGAUUUAAUUCCCACUUCAUAAAGGGAUCUGGCUUUCAUUCAUUUUUUUAAUUGCUUUAUGAUUCUUUAAUUUCACUUUUUGCCUUAAAAAAUUGUAAACAUGUGUUAUAAAGUCUGAGCCUUGCGAAACUUAGAGGAGAUAACUUUACAAAAUGUUUUCUAAUCAUCUGCGUGUGAUUACGGCUUCCCCUCUGCAGCCAGCGUGUUCCUGAGUCUGUUUCCAGUGCUUUAUUUUUAGGCUGUUGCAUGAGGCCAUGGAACGAGCCAUUCAUGCUCUAGAUUCUAAUUCGACUCUAUCCUUCUCAUGUGAUUCCCUCUCUUCCCUUUUGUUAGACACAUACUACCCCCCAGAUUUGGAGGUUGACGAUACGGGCUCUGUCCGGUGAUGCACAUGACCUUGUGAGAACCCUGUUUUGCUUGAGUGUUUUGAAUUUUCCUUGAGCCCAUUUCAGAAUGCGCCCAUUUGCUUCAUGUACACAGACUGUAAAGAUGUUACUAGCUUAAAACAUAAGCUGUGGAGAAACUGUUCAGGCUGCUUCCAUAUUUUUUUAUUAUUAUUAUUCUAUAAGCUCUAGAGGAUGUAUUUGGUGAAGAAUAACACUUUCAUGAACCAACUUAAACUUUCUCAUGGAAUGCCUUCUUUUUAUACAUAGUAGUUUGAAACACGAAGCCAUGGUACUUGAAUGAGCAUUUUCUCUGUUCUUUUCCCUCCUCCAUCUGAAAAUUGUUUGCAUUGAGGAUUAACAGGAAAGAGAGAGAGUCUGCCUGAAGUGCCUUGGACACCUGUUCAAUCCGUGGUGUGAAAGUCAGAAAGAAGUGGGUUAAGUGAACAAUUGGGAAAGCGACUCUUUGCAUGCCCUGCAUGCUAACCCGGAAUGCUUUUCUUUCCCUGCUAAUUCUUUCUAAGAAAGAGCUAGAUGUAGGAGGCACUACUCAACUGGUGCCCAGUCAGGCUUCUGGAAAGUAAAAUUUGAUGACCUUAGAGUCUCCAUAGGCAGCAUGGAGACUUUACCUUUCUCCUUUCUGUGUUAUGUGUGUGUAAACACUGACUGCAUUUUGAGAACAUUUAUGAAAGUCGCUUUAAACCAUCAAGAAACCAGUCCCCACCUCUGUUCCUUGAGUGGAGGCAAGAAUGUGGAAUGUGGGUACAGCCAUUUUACAACCCAAAUUGUUGAGAAAGUUUCAAGUCGAUGGAAAUUUAUAUUUUGAGCUAAUAUUUUUAACUUGUCAAAGUUUUUAUUAUCGGCUCGUAAUCAUAAAGAUUUCACCUGCUGCACA